AUACCUUUCUCGGCCUUUUGGCUAAGAUCAAGUGUAGUAUCUGUUCUUAUCAGUUUAAUAUCUGAUAUGUGGUCCAAUGGAUCACACGAUAUUAAAUUUAUUUUUUGAGGGGAAGAGUCCAUUACAAUAGCUUGCUAUUGAGUCUCUUGAGUGUUGCCAUUGCUUUGCACUAUUGCAUUGGCUGGCGCACCCCAC
rfam:Cicer arietinum chromosome Ca6, whole genome shotgun sequence.